GAUGAACGCUGGCGGCGUGCUUAACACAUGCAAGUCGAGCGAUCGGACGCGUACCUUGUUGGUCGGUUGUUAGCGGCGGACAGGUGAGUAACACGAGGAUAAUCUCCCUAUCAGACUGGCUUAACUUCCGCAAACCGGAGCUAAUACCGGAUGAUAUUCUGAAUCGCUUGCUUCAAAAGUGAAAGACGGUUUUGCUGUCACUGAUAGAUGGAUCCGCGCUGCAUUAGCUAGUUGGUAAGGUAACGGCUUACCAAGGCAGCGAUGAAUAGCCGACCUGAGAGGGUGAUCGGCCACCCUGGAACGGAGGCGCGGUCCAGACUCCUACGGGGGGCAGCAGUAGGGAAGCUUCCGGAAUGGGCGAAAGCCGGACGGAGCAGCGCCGCGUGGGUGAUGAUGGUCUUCGGAUCGUAAAGAUCUGUUAUUAGGGAAGAACCUAUGUGUAAGUAACUGUGCACAUCUUGACGGUACCUAAUCAGAAAGCCACGGCUAACUACGUG
rnacentral:rRNA from 1 species